CCUACGGGCGGCUGUAGUGGGGAAUAUUGGACAAUGGGGGGAACCCUGAUCCAGCCAUGCCGCGUGUGUGAAGAAGGCCCUCGGGUUGUAAAGCACUUUCAGUGAGGAAGAACGCCUGGUGGUUAAUACCCAUCAGGAAAGACAUCACUCACAGAAGAAGCACCGGCUAACUCCGUGCCAGCAGCCGCGGUAAUACGGAGGGUGCGAGCGUUAAUCGGAAUUACUGGGCGUAAAGCGCGCGUAGGUGGCUUGAUAAGCCGGUUGUGAAAGCCCCGGGCUCAACCUGGGAACGGCAUCCGGAACUGUCAAGCUAGAGUGCAGGAGAGGAAGGUAGAAUUCCCGGUGUAGCGGUGAAAUGCGUAGAGAUCGGGAGGAAUACCAGUGGCGAAGGCGGCCUUCUGGACUGACACUGACACUGAGGUGCGAAAGCGUGGGUAGCAAACAGGAUUAGAUACCCCGGUAGUC
rnacentral:rRNA from 1 species